UCAUUAUUUCAAUUUCCAUCGUCUGGGUAGCUUCUCUUUGGAAAAUUUUCUUCUCCCAUUCAAAACCCACAUUUUUAAAUGAAAGUAACUCCAUUUUUUUUUCAGAUUUCUUUUACCCAUUGAUUUUGUUUCAAUUAAUAUUCAAAACCAGGUACACCUUUGCACAAAAAAAAUGUCUUGCUGGUUGUUGCGCACCUUGAUGAUGAGUCCAUGUUCUUUUCACCUACAAUAAACUACUUGACUUCAAAAAUUACCUACCCUUGGUUCUUGGACUUGGCAAAGUAAAUCCUAGGUUUGUGAGCUUAUUACCUUUCUUUCAUUGCUUCUGCCUUGGAUUCUGAAUAGUUGGAUGCAGUUAACAUUGAUACACAUGUAAGCAAAUAUACUUAUGUGGCAUUUGAUUUUCUUGAUUGCUUUACUGGCUGAAACAAAUCUGUUUGUAUACACAAUAGAUGAGUACUUCGGCGGUUGAAGUUAGUGGUGAAAAAGUGAAAGCAAUGUGGGAUAAGAUAUUGACAGAAAUAUUUUGUGAUAUUUGUAUUGAAGAGAUAUUGAAAUGCAAUAGGCCUGGUCCUCAUUUCACAAAAGAUGGAUGGUUGAAAAUAAUGACCAACUUAGAGAAAGAAACGGGCAAGGCUUUUUCACAAAGACAACUUAAAAAUAAGUGGGAUGCCCUAAAAAAAGAAUGGAAAGCUUGGAAGAAACUUAAAGGCGAAGAUACUGGUCUAGGGUGGAAUCCUAUAAAAAGAACCGUUGAUGCAUUGGAUGAUUAGUGGGAGAGUAGGCUACAGGUUGUGCCUGAAGCUCAAAAAUUUUGAACAUCGGGCAUUGAUCCUGAAUUCGAAGGGAAGUUGGACCAAAUGUUCAUGGGGAUAGUUUGCAACAGGUGAUAAAGCAUGGGCACCUUCUUCUGGUACAUUCUGUAGUGAUUUUUUUUAAGGAUGUUAACAACAAAAUACCUGAAGAGAAUGAAGAAGAAAAUAUGAGAAAUGAUGUUCACAUUUUAAAUGAUGUUCACAUUUCAAAUGAUGUUCAAAUUGAUGGAAACGGUCAAAAAAGAACAAACACUAAGAUAUCAAGUUUACAUUUUAAAACUGGAAGAAAGAAAUCCUCAAAGCAAUUUGGAGGGGCUGCAAGAUUGUCCAGUCAAAUAGAAAAAUUAUGCAAUGCGGCUGACAAUAUGAGUCAAGCCACAUCUAGUUUGACUCCUAUUAUGGAUCCAUAUGAUAUUCCAUAAGCAAUCAAAGUGCUUGACAGCAUGUCGGAAGAAGUUCCAGAAGCUAGUCCGCUAUACUUUUUAACACUUAAAUUAUUGCUCAAUAAGGACAAGAGAAUUAUGUUUUUAUCAAUUAAUCCCAAGAUUAGAGCUUUAUGGCUUAAGACAGAAAUGGAGGAUAGUUGAAAAUUUUCUGAUCUUUUAGGGUUUAGAGAUAUCUAUUAUGUAACUAAACAAAAAUGCUAAACUAGUUUUUUAUCAAUAGUUAUUUAUGUUUGGUUUUUGGAUAUUGAAUUUAUGUUCUACUUAUUUAUGUGUAAUCUAGUUUUAUCAAUGGUUGUUUAUGUUU